rnacentral:rRNA from 1 species
UACACAUGCAAGUCGAACGGCAGCACGGGGGCAACCCUGGUGGCGAGUGGCGAACGGGUGAGUAGUACAUCGGAACGUAUCCUGUAGCGGGGGAUAACCUCUCGAAAGAGAGGCUAAUACCGCAUACGACCUACGGGUGAAAGAGGGGGAUCGCAAGACCUCUCACUAUUGGAGCGGCCGAUGUCGGAUUAGCUAGUUGGCGGGGUAACGGCCCACCAAGGCUACGAUCCGUAGCUGGUCUGAGAGGACGACCAGCCACACUGGAACUGAGACACGGUCCAGACUCCUACGGGAGGCAGCAGUGGGGAAUUUUGGACAAUGGGCGCAAGCCUGAUCCAGCCAUGCCGCGUGAGUGAAGAAGGCCUUCGGGUUGUAAAGCUCUUUCGGCGGGGACGAAAAGGUCUGUGUUAACACCACGGAUCCAUGACGGUACCCGCAGAAGAAGCACCGGCUAACUACGUGCCAGCAGCCGCGGUAAUACGUAGGGUGCAGGCGUUAAUCGGAAUUACUGGGCGUAAAGCGUGCGCAGGCGGUUUACUAAGACAGGUGUGAAAUCCCCGGGCUUAACCUGGGAACUGCGCUUGUAACUGGUAGGCUUGAGUGUGGCAGAGGGGGGUGGAAUUCCAGGUGUAGCAGUGAAAUGCGUAGAUAUCUGGAGGAACACCGAUGGCGAAGGCAGCCCCCUGGGCUAACACUGACGCUCAUGCACGAAAGCGUGGGGAGCAAACAGGAUUAGAUACCCUGGUAGUCCACGCCCUAAACUAUGUCAACUGGUUGUCGGGGAAGCAAUUCCUUGGUAACGAAGCUAACGCGUGAAGUUGACCAAU